rnacentral:rRNA from 1 species
UACGUAGGGUGCAAGCGUUUAAUCGGAAUUACUGGGCGUAAAGCGUGCGCAGGCGGUUCGCUAAGACAGAUGUGAAAUCCCCGGGCUUAACCUGGGAACUGCAUUUGUGACUGGCGGGCUAGAGUAUGGCAGAGGGGGGGUAGAAUUCCACGUGUAGCAGUGAAAUGCGUAGAGAUGUGGAGGAAUACCGAUGGCGAAGGCAGCCCCCUGGGCCAAUACUGACGCUCAUGCACGAAAGCGUGGGGAGCAAAC